CCCGAGGACCUUGUUUGUGCUUCAGGCCUGGCAGCAUCUGUCCAGAGACAGACAGAGAGAAAGCGGAGUCAACGUUUCGAGUCUGGGGCAGCCGUCCUUCGGGAGAGUGGCCUUUGGUCUUGAUGUGCCGCCGCACAAUUUCUUGUUCACUCCCACCUCUCUGUCUACAGGAGAGAGCUGGCCAUUGAGUGCUUCCAGUCCCAGCACCAAGGCAGAUACCAGUGCAUCGUGAUCAACAGGGGUUGGAACGAUAUUUAAUGUGACCAGGAAUUCCAUAACCUCACAGAGCCAGGGAGGCGAUGGAAGAUCUAGCUGAGGGCACGAAUGAGGACAGACCUGCAAGAAGUUUCGAAUGCACAGAUCGGGCUAAGCCGAUUAAAUGAUGACUCCGAAAUAGACAGCAGUUUGGUGUACUCAGUUUUCAUCAUCUCCAAACCAAGAAACGCUGGCUGACCAAGCAGAGCAGCAACCACCCUGCAUCACACACACCACUCUGAGGCACACAGAUACAGGAGGGGAUGAGGAACCAAGUCAAGAUGAAGAGAGAAACGUUUAUGUCAACCUUCCACGGACAUCGUGAGACAGCGUAAAAGAAAGCCUGUGAAGCUUCACAAAUCGAUCAAUAGCAAUCCUACCUUGCAGUAAAUGAGGAGGACAAGGAAGAGAAGGCAUCGCAAUGUCACGUUACUGCGACUAGGCUAGGCUUUGUCUCAAUUCAGUCAGCAAGAUGUCAGUUCCAAAGAUGGACUUGUCUUGAGAAACCAUCUGCAUAAUUGUCUCUUCCACAACCCUCAGUGUGUCAGUCUAUUCCCACUGUAGCACAAUCUCACUGUUGGUGGCCGAGAUUUGAGAUUUUAUGCUGAUCAUUCCUAACUUGGAUAUCCAUUUCAUCUCUUGGCGAAUGAGUCCAGGCAGAUGAGCCAAUGAAUUGAAUGUACUCUCCAUGUUUUGUUUAAAUUGUGGUGAGCUGGAAACAAUUCAAGCCAGGAUUGUUUUCCAGCCCUAUCUUCAUUGCCCUCUAAUUUUAUCACUUCCAGUACAUAUCCAGCUCUCAUUUCAUACCUCAUAUGGAAUCGUACAUCCACCACGAUCUCAGGCUGCACAAUCCAAAUCCUAACAACUCUGAGUGAAGAUAUUUCUCCUCAUCUCACUGCUAGCUCUCUUGCAGAUAAUCUUGAAAUUGUGACCUCUAGUUCCUGACAUACCAAGUAAUGGUAACAAAAUAUUUGUCUUUCCCUUGUCAAAAUUCUUCAUAAUUUUGAACACCUCCACAAUGUUUCCCUCUUAAUCUUCUCUGCUCCCAUGAGAAGGAGCCUGAUAUCACUAAUCCUUCCUUGUAUGUAAAAUCCUCCAUUCCUGCUACCAUUCUAGUAAAUCUUCAAUGAACCCUCUCCAAAGCUUAAAGCUUCUUAAAUAAACUGCCCAGAACUGAACACAAAUGUAGUCUGAACAAUGAUUUGUGGAGGAGGAGCAUCGUCUCCUCAGCUUUAUACUCAAUGCCUCUAUUUAUAACGGCAAGGAUCCUAUCAGCCUUCUUCACAAAAGGUUUCAGCUUGCCUGGCCACCUUCAGAGAAUGAUAAACGUGAACCCAGAGGUCCCUCUGCUCCAGUGAUCCCUUCAAAGAUGUACCAUUGACCCUGCAUUGUUGCCGUGUGUUUCUGUUAGCAAAAUGCAUUACCUCAUAUUUCUCUGCAUUGGAAUUCAUCUGCCAGAUUUCAGCCCAUUUGGUAAACUUGUCAAUCUUCCUGUGAAGUCACUCAACAGCAUCUUCACAAUUCACUCUUCUCCCAGGGUUAGUAUCAACUGCAAUUUAGAGAUUAUAUUCUCAACACCCAACUCCUAAUCAUUUAUAUAACCAAUGUAUUUAUCAAUGUGUACUUGUCAGUUUCUUCCAUGUGCGCGUAACUAUCAAUUCUACCUGUCCGUUUCACUUAUGUGAAUGUGUGAGUGUAUUUACCAGUCUGUUCCUGGUCUGCGAAUUGGGACUGUCAAUAUUAAGACCAUAAGGCCAUAAGCGGAAGUAAGGCCAUUCGGCCCAUCGAGUCCACUCCGCCAUUCAAUCAUGGCU